UUGGAGGGCAAGUCUGGUGCCAGCAGCCGCGGUAAUUCCAGCUCCAAUAGCGUAUAUUAAAGUUGUUGCAGUUAAAAAGCUCGUAGUUGAACUUCGGGAUCAAUUGAUUGGUCAUGCCGUUGGUAUGUACUGGUCAUAUUGGUUCUCACCUUCUAAGGAACCAUAAUGUCAUUAAUUUGAUGUUUUGGGGAAUUAGGACUGUUACCUUGAAAAAAUUAGAGUGUUUAAAGCAGGCUAACGCUUGAAUACAUUAGCAUGGAAUAAUGAAAUAGGACAUCGCAUUCUAUUUUGUUGGUUUCUAGGAUCGAUGUAAUGAUUAAUAGGGAUAGUUGGGGGCAUUAGUAUUCAAUUGUCAGAGGUGAAAUUCUUGGAUUUAUUGAAGACUAACUACUGCGAAAGCAUUUGCCAAGGAUGUUUUCAUUAAUCAAGAACGAAAGUUAGGGGAUCGAAGACGAUCAGAUACCGUCGUAGUCUUAACCAUAAACUAUGCCGACUAGGGAUCGGAUGAUGUUAAUUUUUUAAUGACCCAUUCGGCGCCUUACGGGAAAC
rnacentral:rRNA from 1 species